GUGCUUGUUGCGGCGGCACGUACACCACCAUUGGAAUGACACAGAGAAGAUUAGCAUGGCCCCCGCAGAAGGAUGGCACCUAAACUCGUGAAGCAAAAAUGUAUAUA